rnacentral:rRNA from 1 species
CGCGUAGGCGGCUCGGUAAGUCUGGAGUGAAAUUCCUGCUUUUAAGGUGGGAACUGCUUUGGAUACUGUCGGGCUUGAGUGCAGGAGAGGUAAGUGGAAUUCCCGGUGUAGCGGUGAAAUGCGUAGAGAUCGGGAGGAACACCAGUGGCGAAGGCGACUUACUGGACUGUAACUGACGCUGAGGCGCGAAAGUGUGGGGAGCAAACA